rnacentral:lncRNA from 1 species
GUUACCACAGAUACUGUCGGUGGAGUGAUGCGGGCCCUCUUCUCUGGAGUCAGCUCUACUUCCUGUUCACUGGAUGAGGACUUCCUUUUCAACGGCUCUGGGGGUGGGGUGGUGGAUAUGGGGGUAGAUACAUGGCUGGAUAUAGGAGUAGAUAGAGGGGUGGAUACAGGGGUGGAUACGGGGGUGGAUACGGGGGUGGAUACGGGGGUGGAUAGAGGGGUGGAUACGGGGGUGGAUACGGGAGUGGAUAGAGGGGUGGAUACGGGGGUGACUGACACUGAGACUGAGGCACCUCUCUCUGGUGCAACAUCUUCCCUCCUCUCCCCACUGUGCUCGUCCAAGCCCAGAGGCUCUGGCUUUGAAAGGUCGGUCGGCAGUGAUGACCUGAGCUCCUUCUUGCAGCAAACCUCUGGAGGACUCUCCAGGGCAGGGGACUGUGGGAUCUCAGGGGAAUGGGGGGUCUCCGGCUGAGCUUCUUUCAGCUCCUGUUCCUCUUCCUCCAUCUGCUUCUCCCCAAGUGGAGUAACCAUUGAGGUUGAGUCCAUCACGUCCUGUCUCCUCACAACAGGUGCCUCCACUGCCAUUAUAGGCAGGGAUAAACCUCUGCUACGAGUCCUGUGUCUGGGGUACUCAACCGCCAGUGUCUUCUGUACAUUUUUCGGUAAUAUAACUGGUGGGACAACGGGUGGGACUGGUACUGUUUCUUCGUGAACAGGCUCUGGUUCCGGUCUUGGCUUGGAAGGCUCUAUGGGUUUAGAUGGAGGUUCUAUUGGUUUACAUGGAGAAUCUAUGGGUUUACAUGUAGGGUUUAUAGGCAGUGAUGAUGAUCGGAGCCUCCUCUCUGAAGAACGAGUAUGGCAGCUGUUCUCAGGGACCUUGGGAUCUUGCAGUGCUUGGCCAGCAGGACUUGGCUGAGUUGGAGGAGACAACUGGGGUUUGGUGGCUGAGAGCUCCAGACUGAGACCAGACUCAAGCAGCUCUUUGGAUUCCUCUAAGCUGAAAACUUUCCUUCCAAUACUCCACCUUCUUCUCCUUUUCAAUCUCCUGACGCAUUCUCAGCUGCAACUCAGGAGUGAACUCACCUUC